UAAAAUUAAAUAGUUUUUAAGGAAUGUUUAUAGAAGUAUAAAUAUUUAAGUAGCGUUAGCGAAAUUUUUUUUUAAACUAUAAGGGAUUAGUACUGUAAAGGAAAUUUUGAAAAAAAAUGAAAUAUAAAAUAAUAAAAUAGUACCAUUAAAUGUGGGUACCUUUUGUAUUAGUGGCUAUUAAAAUUAAUUUUUAGAAUUUUAUUUCGAAAGUAAAAGAUCUAAAUGGUUUUGUUGUUUUUUGUGUCAAAAAAAUUUUUUAAAAUUAUUUAGUUGUAAAAUGUGAAUCGUUUUUACUAAUAUCUAAUAACUUUAUAAAAAAAUUUAGUUUAAAUUGUUGAGAAUUUCUUUAUUUUAAAGAUAGUUUAUAUACAUGGGUAUGUUUUAGGGGAUGAGCUCUAAGGUAAAAUUAUAAGAAUAAAUUAUGUAAAAUUUUUAGUAGGUUUAGAAUUGGCCAUAAGAUAGUGUUAUAAGAUAAAAAUUAAAGUUUAAAAUUUAUUUUUCUUUUAUUUAUAUGAAGUUAAUUAGUAAAUAUGGAAUAUUUUGAAAAUAUGAUGGUAUUAGUAGAUGAAAAAUAUAGUGAAAUUUUUUUGAAUUUUUCAAUAUAUAAGAAAGAUCAUAAAUAAAAUAAAAGAACUCGGCAAACAAGAUUUCCGAAUGUUUAACAAAAACAUUUCCUCUUAAAUAAGGGAGGUAAGGCCUGCUCACUGAAAUUUAAAGAGCCGCAGUAUUCUGACUGUGCUAAGGUAGCAUAAUCAUUAGUCUUUUAAUUGGAGACUGGUAUGAAUGGUUAAACGAGAAAUCGACUUUUUUUGUUUUAAUAAUUGAAUUUAAUUUUUUAGUGAAAAAGCUAAAAUUGUUUAGAAAGACGAGAAGACCCUAUAGAGUUUUAUAUUUUUUUGAAUUUUUUUUUAGUUGAUUAGGAAAAGUAAAAUUUGAAAAUAAUAUUUUGUUGGGGCGACGUUAAGAUAAGAAAAACUCUUUUUAAAAAAAAAUUUUUAUAAAAAAUUUGUUUGAUCCUUUAGAAAAGAUUAAAAGAAAAAAUUACCUUAGGGAUAACAGCGUAAUCUUUUUGGAGAGUUCUAAUCGAUAAAAAGGUUUGCGACCUCGAUGUUGGACUAAAAUUUAAACAAGGUGCAGUAGUUUUGUUGGAGGGUCUGUUCGACCCAUAAUUUUUUACACGAUCUGAGUUCAGACCGGCGUGAGCCAGGUUGGUUUCUAUCUUCUGAUUUUUGUUUAUCAACUUAGUACGAAAGGAUUAGUUGGUUGUAAAAGUUAUAUGAAAAGAGUAUUAUUAAAUUUUUAU
rnacentral:rRNA from 1 species